rnacentral:lncRNA from 1 species
UAUUGUUCCACCUUUUUUCUUUCAAUAUUUUUCUCUUGGGUUUCUCCAUCCAUUCUCGCAUCUGUUAAUUUCUUUUUGCUUCUCAAGGUGAUAGACAUAACAUGUUCUUUUAGGUUCGUCUCAGUGUUACUCGGUAAGGUAAUUUGAGCUCUCCCAUUGAUCAUUCUUGCCAACUACCCCAUUUAGAUUUCCAAGUUCUUGAUCGACGUUUGAUGGUUUUGUAACAUUAAUUAUCGAUUCUGUAUGGUUACUUCAGUUAUUGUUACAAAUCUGUUGUGUUCUUUUGAAUGGUUGCGAUCAU